rnacentral:lncRNA from 1 species
AUGUACUAUGGUUUAUUAUUGUUAUUGUUUAUUAUUAUUAUUAUUAUUAUUAUUAUUAUUAUUAUUAUUAUUAUUAUUAUUAUUAUUAUUAUUAUAUUAACUGGGGCUACUGGAGCUAGUUGUCAUGCAAAAUCUAUCUUGUUAAACUUUGACCAGCAGAAACUUGUGCAAGUUUCAACAAGUUUUCAACAAUUAGCAACAAGUUUUCCUUUCAUGCUCAUACUUCAGUGCCCACAGAAUACAAUGUUAAUUUUACAGACAUAUCUCCCCAGGUUCAGCAGCUGAACUUAGUAUGUAAACUCAUGCUGUGUAACCCUCCUCCCAGAGAACAUCUUUGCCAUUACUACAUCCUAUAUGCUUAGGAUGAAAACAACUUCCUGGCAAAACACUAAAAAGUAAUAAGAAGGUAAAAGCCUGUAGGUAUUUAAAGAUGAGAAAUAUUAUAUAAGGCCACAGUACCAUAGAUUGGUAAAGGAAACAGAAUCACUAAGGGUCAUUAACAACAACACUUUGAAAGUUAAAUGUCUGCAGUGACAUAUCCUAAAUCAAACCUAAUAUGUGUCCUGACUGUUUAUCAAUGUCCUUUGACUUCACCUACAUUGUAUGUUAGUUCCAUUCAGAAAUGAUGCUACACAUUCAGUGAUGAUGCUACACAGAAAUGAUUCAGAAAUCAAAUUCAGAAAUGAUGCUACACAUUCAACCUCUGCUGGAAAAGCUGGUCCAAGAAUAUAAAAUUUAAUGUAACUAAGUUUGCUUAGGUAGAAUUGAUAAGCAGGAGAUGCAAUAAAAACUGUAUCUAAUGUGAUCAGUGAAUCCUCUGGCAUCAACACAGACAAUUUAACUUCUUAGAUGGUACUAGUUCCAGACUUCGGGAAAUUUGUCUCAUCAAAAUAAGUCCAUAUGUAAACAAGUCACAUUUUAACAAGUUAAACAUCACUGCAACCAAAGGCUGGGGUACUAUUAAAAAUAUCUAAACAAUGGAAAAAUGGGGUCAGAUGAGGAAAGUCCAAUUGCCAUCUGCCAGCAGAGUACCUGACUUGCUAUUGAGAGGUUUUAAGAGAACUAAUUCUAUUCUUUCCUUUUGUUGUUUCUUUUUUUCCCCCACUCGGAUUAUCAGUUUUCAAGUGUAUUGACUGUGCCCUUGUACUUGUCCUCUGUGGAAGGUAGGAAGAAGACUACCCAAAAGACCAUUAAUUA